GUGCUGGCUAUCAUGUGUUUGAAGAUACCCUAAACUUAACCUAACCUAACCUAACAAAACCCCAAACAGUCACUAUAGGUCUUGACUCAGAAAAUUCAUAUAUGCUUCCUUACUAAUGAGACUUUCUAUACAACAAAGUGAGGUCAUUCUGUGUUGAUUCAUACCAUAAGGUGCUGGCUAUCAUGUGUUUGAAGAUACCCUAAACUUAACCUAACAAAACCCCAAACAGUCACUAUAGGUCUUGACUCAGAAAAUUCAUAUAUGCUUCCUUACUAAUGAGACUUUCUAUACAACAAAGUGAGGUCAUUCUUUGUUGAUUUAUACCAUAAGGUGCUGGCUAUCAUGUGUUUGAAGAUACCCUAAACUUAACCUAACAAAACCCCAAACAGUCACUAUAGGUCUUGACUCAGAAAAUUCAUAUAUGCUUCCUUACUAAUGAGACUUUCUAUACAACAAAGUGAGGUCAUUCUUUCUUGAUUCAUACCACAAGUUCCCACCUAUCAUGCGUCUGAAAAUACCUUAACCUAACCUAACCUAACAAAACCCCAGACAAUCACUACAGGUCUUAGAAAAUUCAUAUAAGCUUCCUCAAUC